ensembl:lncRNA
CAUGAAUCCAAGUUGAAUUCCAAUGUUAGCUUAUUUAGCUUAACUUCCUGUAUGUAUUUCUUUUGAUAUAAUUAUCUUUUUAUCAGCUGGUGAGAAAAGAAAGCAUCUCUUGCUAGAGCAAAUUUUCUACCAUAUAAGAGACAAAUAUGACCACUGUUAAACAAGGCACUUAAAUAUUUUCACAUAACCCAAUGUUCUUUAUAGAUAUUAUUUAUACUUGCAAAGAUUAAGAUGAUGUGUACAGAAAAUCUGAAAAAAUAGAGGUUAGUUUGAGGUGUUAGACACCACAUUUCAUAUGUUUAUUGCUACUUACUGUAUUUUGAAAUUAAUUUUAUUGCCCAGAAGGUUUUAAGAGCUAUGAAGGUGCCUUGAAACUACAGAACUGAGAGAGACUGAUCCAUUUCCCUGGUGAGAUAAAGCAUAGAUGUAUGAGAAGCCAGUGGGUCAUUAUUUCAGCACCCCAGUUUAGCACUGUAUUUGUUAUAGUAACCCUAGCAGAAUUCAUGCAGGAAUCAGCGGUGACUCUCCAAUGAUUAUUUUUUAUUCAAAGCACUCAAUUUACAUAGAGACAAAAGGCACCAAAGGCAACAGAGAACAUGGCUAUCUAAUAGCAAGACAAAAGCUGACUUAUGUGCAAUAUCAUGAGUCCCUAUUAGCUGCGACUGGCAAGAUUUUGGUUUAAUUUAGCCCUGAUUAUGUAGACAGCAAUUGGAGUAUAAUCUAUAGAGACCCUAGAUGUUCAGACUCCUUAUGUGCCCUGAACUCCAUCUUUGCCAAAAAUAACCUGUCUUUACAAUGGUUAGUGUCAAACAUGUCCCGGGCCCUGAGUCAGUUUGUAAUCACAGGUGGGUGGAAGCUACAUACUGCAAGAACAGUGAGAAUAAAGUCUGUAGAACUCCAGAAGACUGAUGUUUUAACAGAGGUUUCAAUAUGAAUUUUGAGGCUGGCUGAGUAACUUCCAGCCAAGGUGCUGAGCUGCCUGCUCCUCCUGGAGGCUUGUUCCUAUAGGUUGAGUUAAAGAUUACUGGGAUGCCCAAAUUUGUCCUGCUUACAGCAUCUGAAUGGGUGACUGGGCAAUGAUAAGUGGGGAAAGAAAUGGCAGGAAGAAACACGCUACAGAUGAUGAAAGGAAUACUGUGAUCGUAUCCAUCUGUAUGUGUAUAUGAUUUCUACUUCUCAAAAUCCAUCUGAAAAUAAACUUAAUUGUGUUAGGACAUAUGUUUGUUCAAUGUGAACUGCAGCUAAGUGAACUGCAAGGGAAAGAAAAACAGAUUAUUUUUUUUUUUGUCUCUUAAUGCCUUUUCAGGUACCAUAAUAACAACCUUUCAGUCUCCUUUAGGAAGGACCAGAAGUACUCUUUCUGAACAUCUUUGGAUUUUCUUAGCAAACUGCUCUCUUAGCCCUGCAGUAUAAUUACUGCCUAUCCAGCAAUAACAGAAAUGAGAAUGUCUUUUGCAGUGUCUUUUUCCUCCAGAGACAAUGUGAAACAGUACUCAGAAAGGUACAGAAUUGUAAUGUACUUACAGGAGAAAAAAAAAAACCCACACAUAGUAAUCAAGUAUGGAGGAUAGUGGGGGAAAAAACACCUCAAACCUUGAUUAGAAUUUAUAUUAAAGUGUCUGGAAUGUAUCAGACCUAUAAAUAAACCCUGUAGAUUCAAACCGUUGUUAGUAAAUAAAAGAGCCAGUAGAUGGCAUAGGAGACCUUGUAUUCAGCAUCCAGCUCAGAUGGCUGCUAAUAGCUCCUCUCUUCUGCAACCGCCUGUGUUGUCUCCGGGUUUAGCCCUAGCUACAGUAUUUGCUAGAUUCCCGAGGUUUCUUAUUCAUGAGCUACACUUAGAUCCACACAGUACAUUUAUUUUUAGGGACAACUAAAGUUCAUUUAAUAACUCAUUUGAACAUGCUGAGUAAAAGCUCGACUCUGAAUCACUGAAGAACUUGCAAAAGGCAUACAGGACUAUAAAUUCAUAAGCAUUUUUGACUACAUCAAGUAGCUGGAACAUCAGUGGAGUGAGACACAGGUAUCUGUCUGCCUCAGCAAGAGGGCAUCAACAAAUUGGAGUGGGGCAGAGAAGAAAGCUGCUCCUCGGUGAUGCAAGAAGAAGUUGUGUCUAACCCAUGGCUUGAACACUAGGCAAAGGGUCAACCUUCAGUUGCUGGGGUGCUGGAGUGGCCCUUGUGUUGGGGCAGGACCUAAAGUUGUGCUUCACCAUGCACAGGCCUGACAUGGCACACUAUGGAUUUUAACACUGUACAGGAUGUGUUGUUAUUAUAUAUCAUCAUUUUAUAUAUCAUCAUCAUGUGGAGAAGCUAAUGUAAGACCACUGAUCAGGCUCUCUGAAGUUUUUUUUUCCAAUGAUUUUAACAAUUUGUAAAUAAUUUCUGAGAGAAGACAUUUGACUUUAUGAGCUGCCUGUGUUUUUUGUACUGUACAUUCCAGCUUGAUCACUGUUAAUUAGUGUCAUGCCUCUGUGUUUUACAGCAAGCAGAAUUACUUCUCUUACUAAUGGCUCUUUUCUGCUACUAAAUUCCUAUUCUACUCAUUGAGCAUGAAAGUUCCUUUUUCUUCCCUCACUGCAUUUCUUCACUACCUUCGACUUAUCUGGAGUGGUUGACUGGCAAAAGUUUCUCUUUUGUAAACAAGCAGAUUAAAGGGAAAGGUGUUGGAUUAAAGAUGACAGACCCCAGUCUGAUCCUAUGAAAGUCAAUGGCAAAUCUCCCGUAAGCCACAGUGAAAACAAUGCCAGGAAGAAAAGGGCUCUCCAGGUGCAAUAUUAGUGUGAUUUUAAAGGAAAGUGGAAUGCAUCGUCUCCCUUCUUGUUUGCAGCUGCCUUUUUUGGAGUAUAGCAUUUCUAGUGAGUUAGCAAAAUGCAGCUUUUGUACAGGGAAUUUAUGAAUACUUUAUUACAAAUGAAAACACAGUGUAAAAACACAUGCUAUUGGCCCGAGUUUGAACAUCCUUGAGCAAAAAAAAAAAAAAGAAACUGUUGAAUAGAGUACUGGCUAUCUGACUAAAGGGUCAGUAUGUAUGAAGGUUCUAAAACAGAACAUAUGGAUUAAUUAAAGGUUGGGUGAAGGGACUGACAACCCUUCUUUGCAUGCCGUAGCCCUGCUCUGCUCCCUAUCCUCCUGAGAGGCAAGAGCUGUUGAGGAAAACAGAUUGCCAUAGGGCAUUUGCCCUGUGUCAGGGCUCAGCCCAUGGGGCUCUGGGCUUGGAUGAACACAUAAUGGCUUAUUUUCUUCAUUAAGUAGUUAAGUAGGUGCGGUACACUGAGAAAGACUGGAUCUUAUCUAAUUCCAAGUUAGUUUCAAGCUAGUGAGAGAAAGUAAGAGUACUUCACGUUACUUGUGUUUCUGAUCUUGAACGAAAAGCCUUGAGAAAUAUUAUUCUGUAAUUGUUCAGCUAUUUAGUCUUCAGUUCUCCUCUUUCUGAUAGCUCAGUUUAUACUUAGAAAGAGAAGUAUUUUCUUUAAUGACAGUUUCCUGGCAGCAUUUGGGUUCAGCACUUC